AACAACGGGGAUUGAUGUGGGACAGCCUGUAACGUGGUAACAACGGGGGAUUGAUGUGGGACAGCCUGUAACGUGGUAACAACGGGGAUUGAUGUGGGACAGCCUGUAACGUGGUAACAACGGGGGAUUGAUGUGGGACAGCCUGUAACAUGGUAACAACGGGGGGUUGAUGUGGGACAGCCUGUAACGUGGUAACAACAGGGGAUUGAUGUGGGACAGCCUGAAACGUGGUAACAACAGGGGAUUGAUGUGGGACAGCCUGUAACGUGGUAAUGAUGGUUUUCUAGGAGUAUAUGUAAACCUCCAUUGAUCACACCUAGGAGAACCCAGGCUCACUACUGUGUGUGUGUGUGUGUGUGUGUGUGUGUGUGUGUGCACGUGCAUAUCAGCUUGAAACCAUAUCAGUUACUUACAGCACAUUGUCUUCAUGUCGAUGGUCUACAGUGUGAUGCCAUUAUAAACAGGAUGGUUCGAGCCCUGAAUGCUGAUUGGCUGACGGCCAUGGUAUAUCAGACUGUAUACCACGGUAUGACAAAACAUGUAUUUUUACUGCUCUAAUUACAUUGGUAAUCAGUUUAUAAUAGCAAUAAGGUACCACUGGGUUUGUGGAAUAUGGCCAAUAUAAUACAGCUGAGGGCUGUAUCCAGGCACUCCGUGUUGCGUCAUGCUUAAGAACAGCCCUUAGCCAUGUUAUAUCAGCCAUAUACCACACCCCCUCUGGCCUUAUUAAUUAGUUAUAAAAUGGAUAACUAUCUUAGCUCCAUAGAUCACACUUAAGAUGUGAACCUCCAUCGCUCUGUGGCUAAUCUUUGGGUUUAGCCCUCAGGCCUUCACACUCUACUUUUUGUUGUUUGCUGCAGAGCAGGAAAUGUGUCUGUCCUCUCAGCAGGACAGGCAGCAGGAGAGGUGAGGUAAGGGGGACAGAAGUGUGUGUGAAAGCCAGUGGUCCGGUUUCUGUUUGAUCUCUGACAGACAGCAGAGGGGUUUAUGAAGCUCAUGGGGUGAUGGCUCCUGAUGUCCUGUGCCUUUUAUCUGUCAUGGACAGCAGGCUACCAAAUGGCUCUCACACAGAGGUAGAUGUGGUCGACACACACAGUUGUCAUUGUACUAAACACAACUUGUCCUGUGAUGAGGUGCCAUUGUAAGGGGGAUGGCACUGCUGGAUUACAGUUAAGGACAAUGCAGCUACUUUUUACACACUUUCUCUCUCUCUCACAUUCCUACUAAAGUAUUAAAUCUGAUUCAUAGUGCUCAGGACUAAAUUGUACCAUAUUACACAACUUGAUUACUAGCUGGGACCACAGUAGUUGUAGACUCCCCAUGUUUUAUAUACAUACUAGUUCCUGUACUGAACAGACAUGUUUAAUUUAAUAUUCCUACAUUUUAUGUUGUUUGGUUUUGGUUGCAGAGCAACUCUGUACAUGUUUUGACAUUUAAUCUUAAAUGGGACAUACAGUUCCCUCGAUUGUGAAUAAACUUCGAUAGGCGACAACAAGGUGUCGCAUGUGAAAAUGUACAUGACAAGCCUCCCCAUAUUAACUCACUGGAAAUAGAAUGGUUAAUCUGUUAAUGUACAUACAUUUUGUUUGUUGAUAUUUAAAUAUAAAAGAGUUAAUAACCUUGGCAGUAACUGUCUCAAUCAGGGCUGGGGUCAAUUUCAAUUGAAGGCAGUCAAUUCAGGAAGUGAUUUUAAUUUAAAAUAAGAAAAUAUAAAAUGUUUGAAAUAGCUUUUAUUCCUCAUUUUAUUGAGAAGUCAUUGACAAUAGAAGCUGUUUUUUCCUAAACUUUUUUGUUAUUUAAGUUAACUUCAAUUCAAAUUUACCUCAGCCCUUUACCCUGCAUUGUGGUAAAGUGCGGUUGCCAUAUUGUGUUUUAGCUGGUGUUCAGUGUGUAUGUAGACUAGUAGAGAAUCUAUUCCAUUCACGCUCAUUGACUGUGGAUCAGUACAUUGACUCUAACCUAUUCUGCAAAAUAAAUGGAAAACAAACUGGAAUAAUAAUAAUAAUGACUGUUUUUCCCCUGUAUUCAAGUCAAAUACUUAUUUUGUAUUUGAAAAAGCAUGUUCUCAGGGUGUAAAUGUGUAGUAGGUGGUUUGAGAAAAACCAGAGUGCUUGACUACUAGGUUGGUAACUUUCUGGGCAGUACACUGAAUGAAGAGCUCCCUCUGGUGGAG
ensembl:lncRNA